GCUGGCGGUGCUGCAGCCGCCGCUCGCCCGCGGGCCAUGGAGCACCGCAUCGUGGGGGCCGGGCCUUACCGGGCCACCAAGCUGUGGAAUGAAACGAUUGAGCUUUUUCGUGCUAGGAUGCCCUUACGGAAACACCGCUGUCGCUUCAAGAGCUACGAACGCUGCUUCACAGCGGCGGAAGCUAUGGAUUGGCUGCAUGAGUUACUCAAGUGCAGUCCAAACUUUGGCCCUGAAGUGACUCGCAAACAAACAGUCCAGCUAUUAAAAAAAUUCCUGAAGAACCACAUUAUUGAAGACAUCAAGGGAAGACGGGGCCAGGAAGAUUUUGAAGACAACCGUCAUUUAUACAGAUUUCCUCCUUCUUCACCAUUGAAACCAUAUCCAAAGAAGCCCUCAUACCAAAAGGAUGUGAUUAAAUUUCCAGAAUGGAAUGAUCUGCCACCAAGUACUUCACAAGAGAACAUCCCAGUGAAGCCAAUUGUUAUGAAUUCCGAAAUGUGGUACAAGCGUCACAGUAUUGCUAUUGGAGAGGCGCCAGCUUGCCGCCUUAUCCACCGCAGACAGCUGACAGAGGCCAACAUCGAAAAGAUCUGGAAAUCCAUGACCUUAUCUUAUUUACAGAAAAUCCUUGGCCUUACCUCCUUAGAAGAAGUUUUAGACAGCACAGUUAUCAACUCCAAAUUCAUCAUCCGUAACGUGUACAAUGUUAGCAAGCAUGGGGUGGUUAUUCUCGAUGACAAGUCAAAAGAACUUCCCCAUUGGGUACUGUCAGCUAUGAAGUGUUUGGCAAAUUGGCCAAAUUGUUCAGAUUUGAAGCAACCUAUGUACUUAGGAUUUGAAAAAGAUGUCUUUAAAACUAUAGUUGAUGACUACAGUCACUUGAAAGAGCCUCUGUUCACAUUUCAUCUUUUUGACGCUUUUGUCAGUGUCUUAGGUUUGUUACAGAAAGAGAAAAUGGCUGUUGAAGCCUUUCAGAUUUGCUGCCUUCUCCUGCCGCCUGAAAAUAGGAGAAAGUUGCAACUGCUGACAAGGAUGAGGACAAGGAUAUGUUUGAACAAAGAGAUGCCACCACUAUGUGAUGGGUUUGGCACCCGGACGCUGAUGGUUCAGACAUUUUCUCGCUGCAUCUUGUGUUCCAGGGAUGAAGUUGACCUGGAUGGAUUAUUAGCUGCUAGGUUGGUGACAUUUCUGAUGGACAAUUACCAGGAGAUUCUGAAAGUUCCUGUAGCCUUGCAGACCUCUAUAGAGGAGCGUGUGGCUCACCUUCGAAGAGUUCAGAUAAAAUACCCAGGAGCUGAUAUGGAUAUCACUCUAUCUGCCCCAUCCUUCUACCGUCAGAUUAGUCCAGAGGAAUUUGAACACCAAAGAGCACACGGCUCUCAGGAGCCUCUCGCAGCUUUGUUGGAGGAUGUCAUAACAGACACCAAACUCUCCAGCAAGGAGAAGAAGAAAAAGUUGAAACCGUUUCAGAAAUCCUAUCCUGAAGUUUAUCUACAAUGAUUUCCUACACCAAAAAGUGAAACACUUCUGUUUCCUGAAAAACCUAAACCAAGACCACCGCUACUGAUUUGGGCACUAAGAAAGCCUUUCCAACCAUUUCAAAGAACUAGAAGUUUUCGAAUGUGA